UAUCAGUUUGUUGUUGUGCUUUCAGAUAGAGGGGAUACAUUUGUGCAAAUCCUUUGUGAUUUCCAGUCAUUGGUCUGUGGUCAUUUGUGUGGAUCAUCUAGUCAACAGUUACUGAGGUUUCUUCUCUUUCAAAGCAAAGAUGCUGUGGACUCUGCUGUUCUUCUGUUUGAUUGGGACGUCUGCUCAGAACCAAGGAGCUAGCUGCACAACAGGAAAACUGAUAGAGGGAGGAAAAACAAAUCAGUCUUCAACCUAUGAAAGUC